GACGAACGCUGGCGGCGUGCUUAACACAUGCAAGUCGAACGGAAAGGCCCCUUUGGGGGUACUCGAGUGGCGAACGGGUGAGUAACACGUGAGUAACCUGCCCUUGACUUCGGGAUAACUUCAGGAAACUGGGGCUAAUACCGGAUAGGAAUCCUUGCUGCAUGGUGGGGGUUGGAAAGCUUCGGCGGUUUUGGAUGGACUCGCGGCUUAUCAGCUUGUUGGUGGGGUAGUGGCUUACCAAGGCUUUGACGGGUAGCCGGCCUGAGAGGGCGACCGGCCACAUUGGGACUGAGAUACGGCCCAGACUCCUAGGGGAGGCAGCAGUGGGGAAUAUUGCACAAUGGGCGGAAGCCUGAUGCAGCAACGCCGCGUGCGGGAUGACGGCCUUCGGGUUGUAAACCGCUUUCAGCAGGGGCGAAGCUUGUGGUGACGGUACCUGCAGAAGAAGCACCGGCUAACUACGUG
rnacentral:rRNA from 1 species